UACGAAGGGGGCUAGCGUUGUUCGGAAUUACUGGGCGUAAAGCGCGCGCAGGCGGCUUGGUAAGUUGGGGGUGAAAUCCCUGGGCUCAACCCAGGAAUGGCCUUCAAGACUGCUUGGCUGGAGGACGAGAGAGGUGAGUGGAAUUCCCAGUGUAGAGGUGAAAUUCGUAGAUAUUGGGAAGAACACCGGUGGCGAAGGCGGCUCACUGGCUCGUUUCUGACGCUGAGGCGCGAAAGCUAGGGUAGCAAACGGG
rnacentral:rRNA from 1 species